UCCCACCCGUGUAUACCGUACCCUGUUGCUUCGGCGGGCCCGCCUCACGGCCGCCGGGGGGCCUCGCGCCCCCGGGCCCGCGCCCGCCGAAGACCCCAACACGAACACUGUCUGAAAAGUGCAGUCUGAGUCGAUUGUUACCAAUCAGUCAAAACUUUCAACAAUGGAUCUCUUGGUUCCGGCAUCGAUGAAGAACGCAGCGAAAUGCGAUAACUAAUGUGAAUUGCAGAAUUCAGUGAAUCAUCGAGUCUUUGAACGCACAUUGCGCCCCCUGGUAUUCCGGGGGGCAUGCCUGUCCGAGCGUCAUUGCUGCCCUCAAGCACGGCUUGUGUGUUGGGCCCCGUCCCCGGUACCCCCGGGGACGGGCCCGAAAGGCAGCGGCGGCACCGCGUCCGGUCCUCGAGCGUAUGGGGCUUUGUCACCCGCUCCGCAGGCCCGGCCGGCGCCAGCCGACCAACCCAACCAUUUUCUACAGGUUGACCUCGGAUCAGGUAGGGAUACCCGCUGAACUUAAGCAUAUCAAUAAGCGGAGGA
rnacentral:rRNA from 1 species